GAAAACUUGGAAAUUACCAUUGGAUCGAUAAAUGGACGUCCGAGAUUCAUCUACGUUACCAUAAGUAAAUCUACGAGUAAAAUUUUUACUCAUGUUGACAUCAAUGAAUCUCAGACAUUCAUUUUUCGAUCUAAUGAUAGUUUUCAGGUUUCC
rnacentral:pre_miRNA from 1 species